rnacentral:tRNA from 1 species
AAGAGUCUAGUUUAUUAAAACAUUAGCUUGUCAAGCUUAAAUUACUUAUUUUACUUGUGUCUCUUU